rnacentral:lncRNA from 10 species
GCAGAAUCCUGAUGAAGUGCAGGGCGGCAGAGGGUUUUAAAUAAAACUGUAUCAAAAAGUGAAAAUCAGACACUGAGAAGGUGUACAAGAAAAACAUUUUCCAUUUCUAAAAUUGUAAAGUCCAUGUGGCCCAAGAUUACUUUUCUUCUUUUUCUCUGAGUUGAAAGAAGUAAAAAUCUACUCCUGUUUUGCUCUCAGCUACUUCACAAAGCGUGUAGAAAGUGUAGUCAUACAAAACACUUUCUUUACCUGUGCAGCAUAGCUCACUUAUUUAAAAGUGCAGACUGUAUUAAGAAGUGAGCAUAAAGACGUAUCAAGUCCAUAAUCGCGUGAUAUGGACAGUCCUGUGAGGUAACAGUGCAUUCAGAAUUAGCUCACGAAGCCAACUUCAGAACCUACAGAAAAGUAUAAGUACAAAUGCUCAAAGACAAAUGAGACAAAUGCUCAAAGAAUGGGCCCAUCCUCACAGGCCCUUUAGGGGAGGGGUCAUGACAAAAGCACCAGGAGCACCUGGAUGUUGUAACAUUUGAGCAUCAGAAAGACAAAUGGCCGUAGAGACCCAAACACACGAAGUCACAGGAGAUCCACAGAAGUGCUCAAGAAAGUCAGAAAAAAAGGCAUUUCACGAAUCACCAUUGGGAAAGGUUAACUAACUACUCACUUUGAAAAGUCACAGCUCAAAGGAAAGGAUAAAACUAUCCUGCCUUUCCCAGAGGCACUAUAUUUCAGAGAAACCAAACAGUCCCAACUGCUGAGUAAAACAAGAGUUUACAGAAGAAUGUCUGCUAACAAUCUACAUGUGACAGAAUCAGAAACACCUCAUUCACAGCAAGCCCCCAAAUAAAACUACCAUCUAGGACCAGGAUCAUCAACAGGUGUUAAAUGCAUUGCAUUCCAGUCCACAGAAAGAACAUAAUGCACACAAAGACCAGACUGCCAUCUAUUGUAUUGAAGCAACAAAAUAUGACUGGGGUCCCUGAAGUGACACAAGAAGCAUAGAACAUCAUAUAUAUUCUAGCCCAAAAUGUUUAACUUGAAUCAACUGGGCCUUUCAGUAGAACUUCUCAUUUAAAAGAAGCUCAGGGGACAGGGGACUAAGCUGAAACAACACUAUAAGAAAGUACCAGACACAUCUGGAAGGAGGGGCAUCUCUGCAGGACAAGAGGCUGGUCUGGCCAACAGUCAGGGAAAGCACUGCAAACCCAACCACUAGAUGUAACAGGGUCCACAACAAAUCCUGGCUUACAUAAACCGAGUGUAAAAAAUGUUCUGGGGGUCGGGUGUGGUGGCUCACACUUGUAAUCCCAGCACUUUGGGAGGCUGAGGUGGCUGGAUCAUCUGAGGUCUGGAGUUUGAGACC